UACGUAGGGACCGAGCGUUGUCCGGAUUCAUUGGGCGUAAAGAGCUCGUAGGCGGCUGUUCAAGUCGAACGUGAAAACUCGGAGCUCAACUCCGAGCCUGCGUUCGAUACUGGACGGCUAGAGUCUGGUAGGGGGAUCUGGAAUUCCUGGUGUAGCGGUGGAAUGCGCAGAUAUCAGGAGGAACACCGGUGGCGAAGGCAGGUCUCUGGGCAUUAACUGACGCUGAGGAGCGAAAGCAUGGGGCGCGAACAGG
rnacentral:rRNA from 1 species